CACGUAGGGCGCAAGCGUUGUCCGGAAUUAUUGGGCGUAAAGAGCUCGUAGGCGGUGUGUCGCGUCGGCCGUGAAAACCUGCAGCUUAACUGUGGGCGUGCGGUCGAUACGGGCAUCACUGGAGUUCGGCAGGGGAGGCUGGAAUUCCUGGUGUAGCGGUGAAAUGCGCAGAUAUCAGGAGGAACACCGGUGGCGAAGGCGGGUCUCUGGGCCGAUACUGACGCUGAGGAGCGAAAGCGUGGGGAGCGAACAGG
rnacentral:rRNA from 1 species